AGCGUCGGCUGGCACGCGCGCCAUUGCCCCGCCGAGCACGCGAAGCUGCGCAACUGCCACUGGUCCGGUGGACGCUCGAAGGUGUUCCACAAUCGUCUCCGCCACCUGCACGUCGAUCCUGUCGAGGAAAAAUGAGCGCGCGACCUCCUGGGCUGGACCACCUUCAGGAUUCUCCAUAAACUGGUAUAUCUCCGGGUAUCGCAUCGGCUUGACC
rnacentral:misc_RNA from 1 species